CGCAUACAUUACUCCGCUCGCACUUAUUUCGUGUGUGGAGAAUAAUUUUCGCGUGUUUCACAAGUGUCGGAAACGUCAAAUCGAGCGAUGAACAAGGAGAUCUUUGGAUUAAUUAAGAUAGGUGAGAGUAAAAUUAGCUAUUUCUUCUCGCGUCGUGAAUCAAAGUUUUACAUAGCGGUCCGAAGUUGACGCUUGAAUAUCGUACGUUUGAAUACUUCGUCGGGUGUGUCGUGCGAAAUGUCGGAUCGAUAGAGUAAAGAUAUAUUCGUCGUAUUUCGCGUUAUUUACUCGUCUUAAAUGCAAUAAGUAUAUAUCGGGAGUGCGUAUACGAUUACACGACGAGCGAUUAUUUGAUGCGAAGGAUUUUAAGCGCGUUAUCCGUCAAUCAACUGCGUAUUCCGCGAGGAGUAUCCGGUGGCAAAAUCGGCGAGGAGGAAACGGUCUUUACAACCUUUCAAACAUCGACUGCUAAAUCGACAUUUACAUAUGAAUGUAAUCGUCGAAUGGUACGUGCAUGCUAAAGUCAAAGAUUGACCUGCUGCGACAUCUUGCCGCCUCAUCUCAGCUUCUUUCUCUUGCACGAGAUAUAUGCUGCGCAUCGUAGCGUUCGACAGCAUCAGAGAUCGUGAUUGCAAUCGUGAACUUGUAUAUAUUGCCAUUACGGAUGAAAUGCACGUACAUCGCGGUUCCAGAUCUUCGGAUGGUCAGGCGCCGGUUACAGCAGCGAAUAAACAUGGUCAUCGUGUGUAAUCAUAGCUUGCACGUGCAUACGUUCUGUACGGCGUCGCCUGUCAUCGGCAAACGGCGAUCGGAUUAUGUAUCUACGAGUAAUCGCUGUGACAGGUGGGCAGGAUAAUCAAGGAACGGGAACCGUCGUUCACGAGAGAGUUUCUUGAUAUGCAGCCACGUAUACAUCGGGAGUUCCAUAAUACAGUC